rnacentral:rRNA from 1 species
AGUGAACGCUGGCGGUAGGCCUAACACAUGCAAGUCGAACGGCAGCACAGUAAGAGCUUGCUCUUAUGGGUGGCGAGUGGCGGACGGGUGAGGAAUACAUCGGAAUCUACUUUUUCGUGGGGGAUCACGUAGGGGAACUUACGCUAAUACCGCAUACGCUCUACGGGUGAAAGCAGGGGAUCUUCGGACCUUGCGCGAUUGAAUGCGCCGAUGUCGGAUUAGCUAGUUGGCGGGGUAAAGGCCCACCAAGGCGACGAUCCGUAGCUGGUCUGAGAGGAUGAUCAGCCACACUGGAACUGAGACACGGUCCAGACUCCUACGGGAGGCAGCAGUGGGGAAUAUUGGACAAUGGGCGCAAGCCUGAUCCAGCCAUACCGCGUGGGUGAAGAAGGCCUUCGGGUUGUAAAGCUCUUUUGUUGGGAAAGAAAAGCAGCAGGUUAAUACCCCGCUGUUCUGACGGUACCCAAAGAAUAAGCACCGGCUAACUUCGUG